AACCGGCCGGUCGGACCGGUCGAACCGUGAACCGGUGGCUGUAGCGGUUCGGGCAAUAGUAAAAACCGCAGUAUUUAAAAACCGAACUUGAACCGACGAAUCGGCCAGUUACCGGUCGGUCGAACCGAACCGGGACCCGGCCGGUUUUUUAACAUUGCAGCAAAACGCCGCCGUUUUGUGCUGCUGAGGGAACCCUAAUUCUUGAGUUUUCUUUCUCCUUCGCAAGUUCGCAGCCUCCAGCCCUCCACUUCCUCUCACCGGACUCACCACCCAGUUGUCAACUCCAGACUCCAGGAGGCCCUCAACGCACUCACCGCCGUCGCACUCACGCCCUCAACUCCAGCCUUCAGCACGGUCACGCCCUCACCGCCGUCGCACUCACGCCCUCAGCCACUUCGCAUGUCACCUCCGUCGAGCUCUGCCUCUGAGAAAGCAGUAGAGAAGCGUUGAAGCGUUGAAGCGUUGUCCUUCAAGCUCUGAGAGAAAGCAACAGAUUUCCUCAUUUCCAGG